UCCAUUGGUGUGGUUUGUUCAGAUUGGUUUUAUUGAGAUCAUGUCAAAUUCUUCCCUACUCAUAAAAAUUUCAGUACAUCCCGACUAGAUGAACAUAACAAGAAUAUUUCAUAAUUAUAUCUUUUUAAAAAGACACGGACACGUUUAGUACUUCCAGUGAGCUAUUCGCUCUUUGAAGGAAGCACGACACUAGACAACGGACUAGCAUGCAACGCCCAGUGGCACAGCCGAAAACUUUUCCUGACAGCUGCGGCGGGAAUCGAACCCGCGCUCCUAGCACGAUGCGACUAAAUGCUUGGUGACACUA